AUGACCUGGGCCCCGCUCCUCCUGGGCCUCCUGGCUCACUGCACAGGUUCUGUAUCUUCCUAUGAGGUGAAUCAGCCGCCCUCAGUCUCUGUGAGCCCAAGAGGGGAGGCCAAGAUGACCUGUGCAGGAGACAAUAUUGGAGGCAAAAUUGUUUCCUGGUACCAGCAGAAGCCAGGCCAGGCCCCAGUGCUGGUCAUCUACAGUGAUAACAAGCGGCCCUCAGGGAUUCCUGACCAGUUCUCUGGCCACAAGUCUGGCAACCUGGCCACCCUGACCAUCACGGGAGUCCAGACUGAGGAUGAGGCUGACUAUUACUGUUUAGCAGCUGUUAGCAUUGGGAGCAGCUGGCAGUGA